AGUUGCUAGUAAUCGCGAAUCAGCAUGUCGCGGUGAAUACGUUCCCGGGCCUUGUACACACCGCCCGUCACACCAUGAGAGUUGGCAAUACCCAACGUACGUGAUCUAACCCGCAAGGGAGGAAGCGUCCUAAGGUAGGGUCAGCGAUUGGGGUGAAGUCGUAACAAGGUAAC
rnacentral:rRNA from 1 species